rnacentral:rRNA from 1 species
CGUCGCAUUAGCUAGUUGGUGAGGUAACGGCUCACCAAGGCAACGAUGCGUAGCCGACCUGAGAGGGUGAUCGGCCACACUGGGACUGAGACACGGCCCAGACUCCUACGGGAGGCAGCAGUAGGGAAUCUUCCGCAAUGGACGAAAGUCUGACGGAGCAACGCCGCGUGAGUGAUGAAGGCUUUCGGGUCGUAAAACUCUGUUGUUAGGGAAGAACAAGUGCUAGUUGAAUAAGCUGGCACCUUGACGGUACCUAACCAGAAAGCCACGGCUAACUACGUGCCAGCAGCCGCGGUAAUACGUAGGUGGCAAGCGUUAUCCGGAAUUAUUGGGCGUAAAGCGCGCGCAGGUGGUUUCUUAAGUCUGAUGUGAAAGCCCACGGCUCAACCGUGGAGGGUCAUUGGAAACUGGGAGACUUGAGUGCAGAAGAGGAAAGUGGAAUUCCAUGUGUAGCGGUGAAAUGCGUAGAGAUAUGGAGGAACACCAGUGGCGAAGGCGACUUUCUGGUCUGUAACUGACACUGAGGCGCGAAAGCGUGGGG